GGUCCAGUAGCGAAAUGGCUAACGCGCCUAACAAUGGAUCAGGAGAUUCCAGGUUCGAAUCCUGGCUGGUUCA